GUGGGGAAUAUUGGGCAAUGGGCGAAAGCCUGACCCAGCAACGCCGCGUGAAGGAAGAAGGUCUUCGGAUCGUAAACUUCUAUCCUUGGUGAAGAUAAUGACGGUAGCCGAGAAGGAAGCCCCGGCUAACUACGUGCCAGCAGCCGCGGUAAUACGUAGGGGGCAAGCGUUGUCCGGAAUGAUUGGGCGUAAAGGGCGCGUAGGCGGCCUGGUAAGUCUGGAGUGAAAGUCCUGCUUUUAAGGUGGGAAUUGCUUUGGAUACUGUCGGGCGUGAGUGCAGGAGAGGUAAGUGAAAUUCCCGGUGUGGCGGUGAAAUGCGUAGAGAUCGGGAGGAACACCAGUGGCGAAGGCGACUUACUGGACUGUAACUGACGCUGAGGCGCGAAAGUGUGGGGAGCAAACAGGAUUAGAUACCCUAGUAGUCC
rnacentral:rRNA from 1 species